UACGAAGGGGGCUAGCGUUGUUCGGAAUCACUGGGCGUAAAGGCGCGUAGGCGGCCGAUCAAGUCGGGGGUGAAAGCCUGUGGCUCAACCACAGAAUUGCCUUCGAUACUGGUUGGCUUGAGACCGGAAGAGGUAAGUGGAACUGCGAGUGUAGAGGUGAAAUUCGUAGAUAUUCGCAAGAACACCAGUGGCGAAGGCGGCUUACUGGUCCGGUACUGACGCUGAGGUGCGAAAAGCGUGGGGAGCAAACAGG
rnacentral:rRNA from 1 species